GGGGGCGUACUGGUUUCGACGGGAUCGUUGAGGCAAAAGUAGCGGGUAGAGGAUUCUCGUUGGCCUCUUUAAAAAACGAGACAUAAAAAUAAACGCUAAAAACGAUAAUUUCGCUUUAGCUGCUGCCUAAUAUAGGCAGCCCGUCAGUCCCAGGUUGCUGCGCCUGGGGUCACUGGCGCCAUUAAGUCAGCCCUUCUGCGUGGGAAGGUUAAACGCCGGAACUGCUGCGGUGGUAGCCUUGAGCCGUAGCGGAACUUAAAGGAUACUGAAAGUGAAACCCUGUCUGUAGGGGGUCACCGUAGGGAAAGGCAGGGCUAUUGUCCCGCAAGGGAAACGUAGCCUUGCAAAAAAUACAGACUGCACCCGGAGAAGCUUUUGUGGAUAUGAUUUCGGACAGGGGUUCAACUCCCCUCGCCUCCACCA
rnacentral:tmRNA from 1 species